AAACCCCACCUAAAACUAAGUCUUCAACUUUCUUUCCAUUCUAACUAAGCAACCAAACAACCCCUUUCUUCUAAAUCAACAACCCUAACCAAACGUGUCUCACCUCUCUCUCGUCCACAUCGUCGCCACCCCACCCCCCAUCACGUCACCUCACCACCACCACGCCCAUAUCCCACAAAAUCCGCUACCUACACCCCUCUUCUCCGUUCUCACACUCCAUCUCUGAAGCUUGCAGGCUCCAUGUGCGAUUUCAGCGGAUUUCAUGUUUUUUUUUGGGUUAUCGAAAUCUUCUUUCAAGUUCUCGGCUGAGCAAGGACUGUUUGGAGCGGAUUCGGAGACUCGACGACGACAAUAGCUUCAGUUCGCUGUCACAAAGAAGGUAAUCACAUUCGUCCUACCUUCGUCUUUAAUUUCUUAGAAGUAAAAUGUAGUCGUUGAUUGGUUUUGUCGUUUGCGUCGUCUCGACCUAUUUAAAUCUGUUUGUUGCUCUGUAUACUCUGAAUGUGCGACGAAAUGGUUAAUACAAGCUAUUAUAUAAACUUAGGAAGAAUGAUAAGUUAGCUUGAAGAACAUGUGAACAGUGACGUCGUCUUGCUUUAAAUUAGUUGCCUUUAAUCUUGAAGGGCUGUUUUGGUGUGCUUAUACAGCGUAGCUAAGGUUUUUCUGGUGACUUGAAUAAGAAUAAGAAUGCAUUUUUUUGGUCUUGUUCAUAUUAUGUAUUGGUCUAGCCUACAUUGUGAAUCUUCGCUUGUUAACAUUUAGUCCCCAUUUCCUCGCUGGUUCGAAAUGCAAGAUGGAACUGUUUUGAGUUAAAUUCUAUUUUGAAAACCUUUUUUUAUGGCAUUCUUUAGUGUAGUUUCUGGUUUGGUAAACUUGAGAGUUAGGUUGAGUCUGGAUGAGUAGAUGCUACAUUAGGCUUCAACAUUGUUAAAAUACCUCUUUAAGGUGUCUGUAUGCCCUGAAAAAUCCUGAUAUACAUAUGUAUGGUUUUAAACUUGAGUGGUAAUGUCUUGUAUUUGGCUCUGCAUCACUGUUUGGGGAGGCUUUUUGUCCUGGAGAAGGACUCUUCCGAGCAUUUAAAUGAAAAAGUAUUAUGCCUCUGCGUGUUUGAAACCUGGCUGCUAAAGUACCUCUUAUUCUCAGUCCUAGUUUUUUUUUUCUUUUUAUCAGAAGAGGGGUGUUGUUUUAUUUUAUUAUUUUUGGGGACUAUACUUAAGUAAACAGGGAGGGAUCAUUGUUGACAUACCACCUGUUAUUUUGGAUUCAUAUUUCUAGCUUGAAAAACCAAGAUUUGAUGCUUUCUACUAAAAAAUAGCCCUGUUUCGGUUGAGUGUCCUCUCUUUGAAUUGGUAUUUGGUUUGAAAAAGGCAAUUCUUGUUUGUCUUGAUUUUCAAUACUAUUAAUAGAUAGUAACUAAGGGAAAGGAGAUAGUUCAUCACUACGUAAAGAUGAGGUAAAAAUCCAAGCCCAACUAUUAUCUUUGAGGUGCGAUCAGUUUCUUUUUGCCUUCUCAAGCAUAAGUAUUAUUGAACUUUGGAAUGUGCCAUUCUAUUUAAUACCUCUUCUUUCCACCUGAUCGGGUUCCUUUCCCUGCUGACAGUUGGCAGAGAAAGAUUUAUGGUCACAAUUUUGACCAUAGUUUAUUAGCAUGUCGCUUAAGGUUAGGUUGGCAUUAAUGCAACAUGAAAGCUGAUACGUCGGGCUGGUUGGGCGAAUGGAGAUGUUCUUAUUUUUAUGAAGAGGGAAAAAUUACCUCGUUCUGAUAUGCAAGUUUAGUCGAUGUAGUUAAAUUUUGCACGACUAUUUUCGUAUUAGGGGAAAUAUUGAGAUACUAUUCUGUCGUGUAGGAGGAUACAUCCAGGGUCCUUGUAGAUUCACACUAAAAAAAUCCCACUCAUUAUGUCAUAUGAGGGAGAGAGCCAAGAAGCAUAGCAUAGCGUUAAUUGUUAAAGAUUUAUCUUAGAGGUUUUACUUUUAAUAAGUGGAAUGUAUAUAUUUUGUAAGAGGUCUCUCUCCCGUGACAAUUUGUACAGACGUAUGCUUCUCUUUUAAGUGCACACUGUUAGCUUGUGUCUAUGUCCUGUAAGUGCAAAGUGUUAGGUGUGUCUAUGUCCUUUAAGUUCCAAACUGUUAGGUGUAUCCAAAACUUGAUAGCUUCUUUGCCAAAUGUGUUGGUUCAUAAACCAUUAAGCUUCCCAGUUGACACGAACGAAUAGUUUCCUAUAUAUCACUUCACAUGCCAUUUCUUGGGAAAAUUGGAGUCAGUUGCUGCUGCAUUUCAUGCCAUUUACUGCUGCAUCUGGCCUGUUAUCGCUUCAUUAUUGAUGCCGCAUUUGGCCAUAAAUAGUUGCCUAUUUGCAAGGCCACUGCCACUGAAUGUUUCUGCUGUAUUCUUUUUUUUUUUUUUUACCAUUAUGAUCGCCAUAUAGAGCUUUCGGAAGGGCUACAACUUGGCUGUUGUAUUAGCUGAUUAUUGUUGUGAUUUCGAGCCAAGUUUUGGGCAGCUUGGAGGCUCAUUAGCUGCUGCUGUUUGGGCUGGCUGAUCUCUUUAUUUCGAGAUAAUUGCUGGUGCAUUUUUUGGUCAGUUUUGAGGCCAUAAUUGCUACAUUUUGCUCGGAGUUUUUUGAGGCCACCGCUGGUGCAUUCUGCUCAGUUUAGAGGCCAUUGCUACUGCUUUGUUUAGCCCACGGCUGCUGCAUCUUUGGCUGCGGCGUUUGUUGUCUUAAAACUGUUUUAGAGCGGCUUGCUAGUACUUUUGGUAUCUUGCUGAAACAAUUUGAACAAACUGUUUUAGAGCAGCUUGCUAGUACUGUUGUCUUGAUUCUUUUAUCUAGCUUUCAUUAAUUAAAGUUAUAUAGACUUCUUUUCCUUGUUGAGAAUUGUUUCUAAUCCUUAUAUCUAUUUCUUUUUCUUUUCUUUUUCAUGAGGAACCUUGGGAGCAUUUGGAGUUAUGGCAACUCCGGAUUCUAUCCAUAUCAGAGAACAGCCGGUUGCAAGAUUUAAUUGCUCGUGUUUAGCGUCCUCGUCUUCCUUCCUCUCUUUAAAUUCCGUGCCUUUCGCGUUAUCAUGUAUAUACAUGUUUAUAUUCUUGACUAACAUUUUUAUGGAUUGUAUUUGUAGCACAUUUGUUUCUCGCUUGUGUAGGAACUAGUUAAGUAUGAUGGUAAGUUUAGUCACUACUUUUCCUCUCCCCUUGGAUAAUUAUUCUUGGCUUAGGCGUGUUAGAAAUGAUAAUCGCCCAUGUUUUUCA